AAUGUUUUCAGCUCUGUUAUAUGAGAAGCCUCAGGGGAUAUGCUGGCUGCCUUCAAGGACUAUGGAAGAGGGACUAGAUCUACUCUGCUUGGCUCCUGAGAGACCUGGAAAAGUCAAUGGCUGAGCCCAAAGGAGUUAGUCACUAACCAUGGAAUCUCAGGAUUGAAGAAGUCAUGAGAAUAAGAGAUUCAGGAUUAUCUCAUAGACAACACAUCCGAGUUCGGCUGUUGUGCACCCCAGUCUUCAUUUAGCGGCUCACAUGUGAAUCACAGGAGAAGCUGCCUAUAUAGCCACGGAGGAAGGGGGCAAGAGGGGAAGCGGAAUAAGGGAAUGGUGGAAGGAAUAAAGUCAAGAGCAGGAUUCUCCUUUACUCUCAGCCCUCUGCAACCAAGCUCUCAGAUGGAACAGAUUACACAGGAACAACGGAUCACUUCUUAUUGCAAAGAGGAUGUGUAAACGCACAGUUACAGGUCAGUGGCUCCAUCCACUCAGUUCUCUGGGUCAGGGUUGGGAACAAGUUCCUUGCUGAGUGCUUGGCAGACAAGGCAAAGCAGUACAGCUGGGAAAUCUCCACCAAGGCUUACUUGUUGCCCACAAGCCAACAAACAGGAAUGUUAGAACAGCAACAGAAUAUGAGAGUAGAUAGUUCAAUAUUCUCUGAGGUCCCUGUGGGAUUCCAUGUAGCAGCCUGUUUAACACACCACAAUUCAGACCUAAUAUGUCUAUGGAAAACAUUUAAAAAUAUCUUUUAAAAAGCUUUGAGUUGUUUGUCAUUCACUGAAUUUGUCUGGCUCAAGGCUUGGAACAGCUGCUAUCCAGAGAGCAGAGCAGUCAUUCUACUAUUUCUUCCUACAUUGUCACCUUGAUGUCUCAGCUGUGACAAAUGCCUCUGUUGCUUCUCCCUGCCCAGGGCUCCACAUGGGGAAGAGAAGGUUUCUGCAAAGUGGUAUGUUAUUUAAGAAAUGAGUUUCAGGUGCCUGAAGCCCAGCUGAGCACAUGAGUCUGCCUUCUGAAAAUGGCAAAAGCAAACCUAGAAGUUCCUAUCUGCAAAUCCAAAGAAGCCUGGGACUUCAUAUCACCUCUGUGAAUCCAAAGAACCAAAGAGCAGGGGGAAGAGAAGGUCACCUGGGGAAAGCUUAGGAAAAGAAUGACUGGGGUGUGCAAAACAGGUCAGCAAUCUUGGGAUCCAGGGAAGCAUUAAGGGAGGUGAGCAAUGUGGGAUCCCCAGGCUAGCUGCGCAGGUUGAAUCUCUGGCUGCAAGAUGAGAUCUGGGUUUAAACUUCAGUCCGAUUUUUAUUUGGGGAGAAUAAAGGAGGCAGAUUUGAGAACAUUCUAGCAGCUCAGGAACAAAUGGGGAAUGUGGAUUGGGAAUGUCGAUUCCCAUAGAGAGUUAGUCUUCUGUACCCUACCAGAAGUCAUGCCAUUUUUACUGUAAGGUGCCUGUGGCCUAAGCCUGCAGAGAAAGCAUGGGAACUUUGGCCAGAUAGAACAGGGAGCCCACUGCUUGGGACUGACAUGUAGCAUGUAUGGGAUCAGGUAAUUACAGCUGAGAAUUGGCUCCUUUCAUUAGCCCUCUGCCUAACUGCAAAGUCAUGAAAUGAUUAAAUUAUCCUGAAGCAAACCUUUUGACCUUUCCCCCACCUAAACAUUACUUGAAAGGUAAAAAAGACCAUCUCUUUUCUUUUCUUUUUGGUGGUGGUUAAAAAAAGAAUCCUUAAAUAGAACAGUAUGAAAAUAUAACUUAAAUUAUAAAAGUCAUAUAGGAUAGAGAAGACUUUAAAAAAAAUCUAUGUGUUGCCUAUCAAUUCCAUAGGUACCUUGUAGGAAACAAAGACGGGGACUUAACAACAUCAACACGGUUAAGGCUCAUAACCAUAAAACGAUCCUGGGUUCUAGAAAUUAACUGUUGCAAAAGCCACUUUUUAGUAAGAAACCACACUGGCUCCAACUUGAUCAGUCUUGAUUACUUUUUCCUCCAAAAGUGACACAUCUCGUCAUUCCCCAUAGAACUGAAAGGAGACAGCUGCAGAGUGUGAAUGUGUGUGUGUGUGUGUGUGUGUGUGUGUGUGUGUGUGUCUGUGCUAUGCAAGCACACACACAUAUGCUCAUCCUCUUCGGCAGCUCUGUCAAGUCAGACAAAGACCGGUGUGGUGUUGGUCCCUGACAACACUGGAUACGCCGGAUGGAUGGAGAAAACCCAAACCAAACCUCUGUUGCAUAUUCGGCUUCAGGUUGGUAAGUCUUCGAAGGUCUUCAUCUGCAUCUGAGUCUUCCAUCUCGUCAUCAGCAGACAUCAGAAUCUGGAACAGAAAUGGAAAGGCACGGUCACUGAGUCACACAAACAAGACUGGGGUGGCCAUGUUUUGGCCCUACUCACCCCGUGUCCUUGAUGCCCAAGGAGGUGCAGGAUUGAGCCUCCUUGGAAGAGAGGGUCAGGGAGGGCCCAGCCCUAUACCCAAGAGCACAUUUCCUAAGGGCACACAUGAUCAGCUACAACAUUCUGACCCUCUAAAAAAAAGCACUAGGUUGGAGUCACGUGAUCUAGAUUUCAACUCUGACUCUACUACUUGCCUGGAAGACCCUGAACCUUGAACCUCUGGGUCUCAGUUUCUUCAUCUGUACUAAAAUGAGGGAUUUGGACUAUGAUCUGAAUCCUAUCCUUUCUUGGCUAUCUUGGGUGUAUACCCCCUUACUCCCACACUAACUCAGCCUGAAAAAAAAAAUCCAAUUAGACAAGCCCCAGAAAAUUACUAACCAAUAUCAUUUUGGUAGGCAGGCCCAGCCUUGAAUUCCAAGCAUUCCUCUGAACCCAAGAACCACAAACAUACCUUGCAGAGUAGAUGACCCAAAGCAGCUGGAGGGGAAAACCCAGGGGAUAGGGAGAAUUUCUUGGGGUUUGUGCUAUUGAAAUCAAGAGAGGCAGUGCAGCCCAGUGUGCAGAAAACUAGAAUCAGAGGUUCAAGCCCCACUGCUGACACUCGUGGUACCCCGACACUAGAGGACAGCUGUAGAUCUUUCUGCAUUGGUCAAGGGUUCCUUACUGAGGAAGCCACAGGUCCAGAUCACUCCUCAAAUAAGAAGUGAUACAUAUCUAAGGCAGGACACCACUAAGGGCUUCUCUGGUUUAUAUUCUGAAUAGAAAUAAAUAUUUAGGCAAACCACAA